CUCCUACUGGAGGCAGCAGUGAGGAAUAUUGGUCAAUGGACGCAAGUCUGAACCAGCCAUGCCGCGUGCAGGAAGACGGCUCUAUGAGUUGUAAACUGCUUUUGUACGAGGGUAAACUCACCUACGUGUAGGUGACUGAAAGUAUCGUACGAAUAAGGAUCGGCUAACUCCGUGCCAGCAGCCGCGGUAAUACGGAGGAUUCAAGCGUUAUCCGGAUUUAUUGGGUUUAAAGGGUGCGUAGGCGGUUUGAUAAGUUAGAGGUGAAAUCCCGGGGCUUAACUCCGGAACUGCCUCUAAUACUGUUAGACUAGAGAGUAGUUGCGGUAGGCGGAAUGUAUGGUGUAGCGGUGAAAUGCUUAGAGAUCAUACAGAACACCGAUUGCGAAGGCAGCUUACCAAACUAUAUCUGACGUUGAGGCACGAAAGCGUGGGGAGCAAACAGGAUUAGAUACCCUGGUAGUCCACGCAGUAAACGAUGAUAACUCGUUGUCGGCGAUACACAGUCGGUGACUAAGCGAAAGCGAUAAGUUAUCCACCUGGGGAGUACGUUCGCAAGAAUGAAACUCAAAGGAAUUGACGGGGGCCCGCACAAGCGGAGGAACAUGUGGUUUAAUUCGAUGAUACGCGAGGAACCUUACCCGGGCUUGAAAGUUACUGACGAUUCUGGAAACAGGAUUUCCCUUUGGGGCAGGAAACUAGGUGCUGCAUGGUUGUCGUCAGCUCGUGCCGUGAGGUGUCGGGUUAAGUCCCAUAACGAGCGCAACCCCUACCGUUAGUUGCCAUCAGGUCAAGCUGGGCACUCUGGCGGGACUGCCGGUGUAAGCCGAGAGGAAGGUGGGGAUGACGUCAAAUCAGCACGGCCCUUACGUCCGGGGCUACACACGUGUUACAAUGGUAGGUACAGAGGGUCGCUACUCCGUGAGGAGAUGCCAAUCUCGAAAGCCUAUCUCAGUUCGGAUUGGAGGCUGAAACCCGCCUCCAUGAAGUUGGAUUCGCUAGUAAUCGCGCAUCAGCCAUGGCGCGGUGAAUACGUUCCCGGGCCUUGUACACACCGC
rnacentral:rRNA from 1 species